rnacentral:rRNA from 1 species
UACGGAGGGGGCUAGCGUUGUUCGGAAUUACUGGGCGUAAAGCGCGCGUAGGCGGCUUUGUAAGUUAGAGGUGAAAGCCCAGGGCUCAACCCUGGAAUUGCCUUUAAGACUGCAUCGCUUGAACAUCGGAGAGGUAAGUGGAAUUCCGAGUGUAGAGGUGAAAUUCGUAGAUAUUCGGAAGAACACCAGUGGCGAAGGCGACUUAACUGGACGAUUGUUGACGCUGAGGUGCGAAAGCGUGGGGAGCAAACAGG